CCGACAGCGUCAGUUCGUUUGCGAACUGUGUGAAAAGUGAAUUCGGACGCCCCAUUUUAUUCGGAAAUUUAAAAAAAGCACAAGAAAGUGAAAAACGAAACGGAAAAGCGUCAACGAACCGAGUGCGAGCGAUAAUGUGCGAAAGGCUACAAAGAAAUUAAUUAUAUUUUUGUGACUCGCGUUUACAGUCCGCGUUCGCUUGUGCUUUUACAGUGCUGUGACAUUUCGUACAGACUCGUAUAUAAGAUAAAAUCGUAAAAAUUAAACGAAAUAAAACAAAAUUGAGUGGUGCGUCGCGGUGAGCAAGCUGUUAUUGUUUUUUGUAAUGUGGAAAUACCGAGCUGGUGACAAGCUUACCAUAAUUAUUUUGUGCUUAAGUCAACGGCACUCAUUAUCUUUGUUUUAUGAAUAAUAUGUUGUGAGUUUGAUAUUGUUGCAAAGGUGUUUAGCGGUUGCUUGCUCGCAAAUAUAUCAUGGAAAAUUGUUUACAGUAAACUUGAAUGUAUUUAAAUUUACACUUCAAUUUUUUGGCUUUCUGCUAAAAUACUUUUGUGAAAAUUAUUAUUAUUAAAACUUCUUUAAAAGUUGCCAUAAGGUUCCUAUAAAGCAAAAAAAAAACAAAAAACACGCUAUAGUCUGCGGAAUUUUGAUCUAUAUUUAUUUUAAUAUAAAAUAAUACAGUAUAAUCUUGCGUUCAUAGCAUUGAUGAACGGUGUUGAAAAGUGCUAAAGAAAAGCAUUUGUACACUUGCAUAUACAAACAUACCUACAUUUAAGAAAGUGUGCUAAAAGCAGCACACAAAUAGAUAUUUUAGUGAUUGGGUUUCCCAAGCCAAAAAAACUACAAUGAAAAAACGCGCGUGGAAAGCAGAAAUAAAGAAAAAACACAAGAACGGUGAAUAACUGUUAAGUGCUAAUGAUUUCCCUUGAGACAUUAAUCGGCAUCCUGCUUGAUUUCAUGUUGUUCUAAUGGCGCUGUGAGACUGCUAUUGUGUUCGAGAGGCGUGAAAUAAUUGCAAGGUUGCGAUUUUUCAAGUCAUCACGUGCCAAUCCAAUUCACUAGCAUACGUGUAUAUUAAAUUAGUUGCAGCUGCAAGUGUUUUAUACAACAUAUUACAUAGUUAAGUGCAUCAUUUGGAUGACGACUCAACAACCAUGGCGACAAACUUUGCGAAAUGCGGGAAAGCUAUCAAGUCAUAAAAGGGAGACGGUAAACCAAAUUGACGCUGUUGCCAAGCAAUUGAAAACGCUGCAAACCCACAGACAAGUGAGAGAUAUGCUCGCGAAGGGACGUUGACUAGUGUUAUAUCCUUACAGUAAACAAAGCUACAGAAAGCAACGAAAGCAAAACUGAACAUACAUAUGUAUGUAUGUACAAACAUUUUUCCAGCGUGGUUUAGUAAAAAUGCGGAAUUUCCGCUUGAAGUCAACUUGAAAAACCUAAUUACUGUAGAGGACUAAGAGCUGUGGCUGUGCGAAGUCUAUUAACUCGUUAUUGCGGGAAUCAAUUUGGAGUGCUUUAUUUUAGAAAUGCAUACAAAAAGCAGCCAUUACUAUAAAAUUGAACUCUGAAAUUUGAAGCAGCAGUUGGCUACUUAAUGUAUUUUGGUACUAAUUAUAUUGAUAAUAGAUAAGAAUAAUUAAAAGUUAUAAAUAAAUUGCAAUAAUUUUUUUUUAUCAUUUGAACGCAAUAUAAUUGUACGCUAGGCUACAACAUUUUUCUAGGUUUUUGAAUUUUUUUCAUAAGUUUGCAACAAUCAGAAUUUCUCCAUUUACGUCACAAUAUUGCGAAUGGCAUGGCUUUGUCAUUAAUGAACAUUGUUAAACACAAAAUUUUUGAAAUCAAACAAUAAACCAUAUCAUAAGGAAACGAA